UGGCUCAGGAUGAACGCUAGCUACAGGCUUAACACAUGCAAGUCGAGGGGCAGCAUUGGAGUAGCAAUACUCAGAUGGCGACCGGCGCACGGGUGAGUAACACGUAUCCAACCUGCCGCUUACUCGGGGAUAGCCUUUCGAAAGAAAGAUUAAUACCCGAUGGUAUAAAGAGUUCGCAUGUUCUCUUUAUUAAAGAAUUUCGGUAAGCGAUGGGGAUGCGUUCCAUUAGAUAGUUGGCGGGGUAACGGCCCACCAAGUCUACGAUGGAUAGGGGUUCUGAGAGGAAGGUCCCCCACAUUGGAACUGAGACACGGUCCAAACUCCUACGGGAGGCAGCAGUGAGGAAUAUUGGUCAAUGGACGCGAGUCUGAACCAGCCAAAGUAGCGUGAAGGAUGACUGCCCUAUGGGUUGUAAACUUCUUUUAUAAGGGAAUAAAGUGAGGGACGUGUCCCUUUUUGUAUGUACCUUAUGAAUAAGGAUCGGCUAACUCCGUGCCAGCCGCCGC
rnacentral:rRNA from 1 species